rnacentral:misc_RNA from 1 species
CAGAGUUCGUGCCCUUCGGGGUAGACCUCCCACCCUGUGUAUUACUACCUUUGUUGCUUUGGCGGGCCGCUAGGCUCCGGCUUGGCUACCGGCUCCGGCUGGUGAGCGCCCGCCAGAGGACCCCAAACUCUGAAUUUUAGUGUCGUCUGAGUACUAUAUAAUAGUUA